rnacentral:rRNA from 1 species
GACGGUGCCAACGAGUCUGACCUUCUGGCCCGAAAGGGUUGGGCAAACUGGUCAAUCACCGUCAUGACAGGGAUCGGGGCUUGGAAUUGUUCCCCGUGAACGAGGAAUUCCUAGUAAGUGCAAGUCAUAAGCUUGCGCUGAUUACGUCCCUGCCCUUUGUACACACCGCCCGUCGCUACUACCGAUUGAAUGGUUUAGUAAGGUCCUCGGAUUGGCGCCAUUGCAGUAUCAGCCGCAAGGUUGGUGCUCGACAGGUGCCGAGAAGACGACCAAAC